rnacentral:lncRNA from 1 species
UCAGAUCAGAGGCUAAAUAUGUCACUUGGACAGUAUGAAACAGAUGAAAUUUUGAAAGCUACUGCUGAGCAGAAAAAUGCCUCUGGUGGUCAUAGUAUAUCAGGAUCCAGGAUGAUGGACCAAAGCUUGUCAAUUCUAAUCACAGAGUAUGAUAAACAAUUGGAAGAAAUGAGAGAACAGCUGCAGCUUUAUCAGGUAUGGAUGUUCCUAACAUUUCAGACUGUACGUUCUUAGCAUUUUAUAGUAUUAA